rnacentral:rRNA from 1 species
UGGGGAAUAUUGGACAAUGGGCGAAAGCCUGAUCCAGCCAUGCCGCGUGUGUGAAGAAGGUCUUCGGAUUGUAAAGCACUUUAAGUUGGGAGGAAGGGCAUUAACCUAAUACGUUAGUGUUUUGACGUUACCGACAGAAUAAGCACCGGCUAACUCUGUGCCAGCAGCCGCGGUAAUACAGAGGGUGCAAGCGUUAAUCGGAAUUACUGGGCGUAAAGCGCGCGUAGGUGGUUUGUUAAGUUGGAUGUGAAAGCCCCGGGCUCAACCUGGGAACUGCAUCCAAAACUGGCAAGCUAGAGUACGGUAGAGGGUGGUGGAAUUUCCUGUGUAGCGGUGAAAUGCGUAGAUAUAGGAAGGAACACCAGUGGCGAAGGCGACCACCUGGACUGACACUGACACUGAGGUGCGAAAGCGUGGGGAGCAAACA